ACACGACUACAUUAGAUACCCCGGUAGUCCUAGCCGUAAACGAUACUCGCUAGGUGUCGGCCACGGUGCGACCGUUGUCGGUGCCGUAGGGAAGCCGUGAAGCGAGCCACCUGGGAAGUACGGCCACAAGGCUGAAACUUAAAGGAAUUGGCGGGGGAGCACCACAACGGGUGGAGCUUGCGGUUUAAUUGGAUUCAACGCCGGAAAUCUUACCGGGACCGACAGCAACAUGAAGGCCAGGCUGAAGACUUUGCCGGAUUAGCUG
rnacentral:rRNA from 1 species